GUGCUCGCUUUGGCAGCACAUAUACUAAAAAAUUGGAACAAUACAGAGAAGAUUAGCAUGGCCCUGUGCAAAGAU
ensembl:snRNA U6 U6 spliceosomal RNA